rnacentral:rRNA from 1 species
UACGGAGGGUGCAAGCGUUAUCCGGAAUCACUGGGUUUAAAGGGUGCGUAGGCGGUCUGAUAAGUCAGUUGUGAAAUUCCCCGGCUUAACCGGGUGGACUGCGAUUGAUACUGUUGGACUUGAAUCAGGUUGAGGUAGGCGGAAUGUGACAUGUAGCGGUGAAAUGCUUAGAUAUGUCAUAGAACACCGAUUGCGAAGGCAGCUUGCUGGGCUUAGAUUGACGCUGAGGCACGAAAGCGUGGGGAGCAAACAGG